rnacentral:rRNA from 1 species
GUGCCAGCAGCCGCGGUAAUACAUAGGGGUCAAGCGUUGUCCGGAUUUAUUGGGCGUAAAGAGCUCGUAGGCGGUUCAACAAGUCGGUCGUAAAAGUUUAGGGCUCAACCCUAAAAUGUCGAUCGAUACUGUUGUGACUAGGAUACGGUAGAGGUGAAUGGAAUUCCGAGUGUAGCGGUGAAAUGCGUAGAUAUUCGGAGGAACACCAAUUGCGAAGGCAGUUCACUGGACCGUUCCUGACGCUGAGGCGCGAAAGCUAGGGGAGCAAACGGGAUUAGAUA